rnacentral:rRNA from 1 species
UACGUAGGUGGCGAGCGUUGUCCGGAUUUAUUGGGCGUAAAGAGCCCGCAGGCGGCUUGGUAAGUUUUGGGUGAAAUCUCCCGGCUCAACUGGGAGGGCGCCCGGAAAACUACCAGGCUUGAGGCAGGGAGAGGGAUGUGGAAUUCCCGGUGUAGUGGUGAAAUGCUUAGAUAUCGUCAAGAACACCUAUAGCGAAGGCAGCUUACUAGGCUGUAACUGACGCUGAGGCACGAAAGUGUGGGGAGCAAACAGG